rnacentral:tRNA from 1 species
GCCUGAGUGGCUCAGUGGUUAAGCGUCUGCCUUUGGCUCAGGACGCGUGAUCCUGGAGUCGUGGGAUCAAGUCCCACAUCAGGUU